rnacentral:rRNA from 1 species
CGUCUAUAUACGUAUAGCAUAUCAAUAAGCGGAGGAAAAGAAACUAACAAGGAUUCCCUUAGUAACGGCGAGUGAAGCGGGAAGAGCUCAAAUUUGAAAUCUUCAAGGUUCUACCUUGACGAAUUGUAGUUUAAAGAAGUGUUUUCUGUUAGUGGAGUGGCAAAAGUUCUUUGGAAUAGGACAUCAUAGAGGGUGAGAAUCCCGUAUUUGGUCAUUCCUUCUAGCUUUGUGAUACACUUUCAAAGAGUCGGAUUGUUUGGGAAUGCAGUCCAAAAUGGGUGGUAAAUUUCAUCUAAAGCUAAAUAUUGGCGAGAGACCGAUAGCGAACAAGUACCGUGAGGGAAAGAUGAAAAGAACUUUGAAAAGAGAGUUAAACAGUACGUGAAAUUGUCAAAAGGGUAAGCGUUUGACACCAGUGUUGUUUUUCCGAAAAUCAAUUAUAGAUGUUUUGUUUCUGAGGAGUGAUGACUUCAUCGGCUUCCUUCUCUCUUCACGAAACUUUUGUAAUGCACUUUUCGGUUAACAAGUCAACAUCAAUUUCUUUUGUUGUAAAAGGGUAUGAGGAAGGUGGCUUUCUUUUCGGAGAAAGUGUUUAUAGCCUUGUGCCUCUGCAAUCGGAGAGAUUGAGGUCUGCAGCGUAGAUCCUUCGGGGUUAGAUACGUUUGUGCUAAGUUAUAGCUUUUCAUAGACAACUUGUUGACUAUGUUUAGUCUUGUAGCUUACUCGCUGACGCUAUUUUACCUACGCUUAGGAUGUUGACUGAUAUGUAGUCGUA